rnacentral:rRNA from 1 species
ACUCAAAUGAAUUGACGGGGGAGCGCACAACCAGUGGAGCGUGUGGUUUAAUUCGAUACAAAGCGAAAAACCUUACCUGGGUUUGACAUGGAUCCGUAUGUUUUCUGAGAAAUCGGAAUUCCUCCAGGAUUCACAGCUGCUGCAUGGCUGUCGUCAGCUCGUGCCGUGGGGUGUCGGCUUCAGUGCCGUAACGAGCGCAACCCCUGUUGUAUGUUAGAUAUACAUACAAGACUGCCCCGCGCAGAGCGGGGAGGAAGGCGGGGACGACGUCAAGUCAGCAUGGCGCUUAUGUCCAGGGCUACACACACCCUACAAUGGGACGGACAAUGGGUUGCCAAGCCGCGAGGCGGAGCUAAUCCCACAAACCGUCCCUCAGUUGGGAUUGCAGGCUGCAACUCGCCUGCAUGAACUAGGAAUUGGUAGUAAUCGCAGAUCAGCAGGCUGCGGUGAAUACGUUCUCGCUCCUUGUACACACCGCCCGU